CAGCCGCCGCGGUAAUACGGAGGGUGCAAGCGUUAAUCGGAAUUACUGGGCGUAAAGCGCACGCAGGCGGUUUGUUAAGUCAGAUGUGAAAUCCCCGGGCUCAACCUGGGAACUGCAUCUGAUACUGGCAAGCUUGAGUCUCGUAGAGGGGGGUAGAAUUCCAGGUGUAGCGGUGAAAUGCGUAGAGAUCUGGAGGAAUACCGGUGGCGAAGGCGGCCCCCUGGACGAAGACUGACGCUCAGGUGCGAAAGCGUGGGGAGCAAACAGGAUUAGAUACCCUGGUAGUCCACGCCGUAAACGAUGUCGACUUGGAGGUUGUGCCCUUGAGGCGUGGCUUCCGGAGCUAAACGCGUUAAGUCGACCGCCUGGGGAGUACGGCCGCAAGGUUAAAACUCAAAUGAAUUGACGG
rnacentral:rRNA from 1 species